rnacentral:rRNA from 1 species
CCUACGGGAGGCAGCAGUGGGGAAUAUUGCACAAUGGGGGAAACCCUGAUGCAGCGACGCCGCGUGAGUGAAGAAGUAUUUCGGUAUGUAAAGCUCUAUCAGCAGGGAAGAGGAAAGACGGUACCUGACUCAGAAGCCCCGGCUAACUACGAGCCAGCAGCCGCGGUAAUACGUAGGGGGCAAGCGUUAUCCGGAUUUACUGGGUGUAAAGGGAGCGUAGACGGCUGUGCAAGUCUGAAGUGAAAGCCCAGGGCUCAACCCUGGGACUGCUUUUGAAACUGUGGAGCUAGAGUGCUGGAGAGGUAAGUGGAAUUCCGAGUGUAGCGGUGAAAUGCGUAGAUAUUAGGAGGAACACCAGUGGCGAAGGCGGCUUACUGGACAGUAACUGACGUUGAGGCUCGAAAGCGUGGGGAGCAAACAGGAUUAGAUACCCUUGUAGUC